GCGGAUGUAGCUCAGUUGGUAGAGCAUCAGCUUCCCAAGCUGAGGGUCGCGGGUUCAAGUCCCGUCAUCCGCUCCA
rnacentral:tRNA from 1 species